GGGAGACCGGUACUUUAGCAAGUCUGCCACUUCGCCAGAUGGCAAAAUAAUUCCCAGGACUUUUGCCCAAUUGAUCCUGGACCCUAUCUUUAAAAUAUUUGAUUCCAUCAUGAACUUCAUUGGCAGAUCCUUUUGGAGACCCCAUGGAAGCCAAUUCCAAGCCUGCCUAGAUGGUGGCUGACACACGAAAGUGCAAGAGACUCGAAGGCAUUCUAGCUUUAGACAACUACUUGGACAAAUUGUAGAUUUACACUAUAGGAGACAUGACCAUAGUUUUUAGAUGGUCUUGUUGUCUGCCUUAGGUAGGCAUCUGUAUUAGACCAACAGGCAAAUGGUGGCUUUUCUCACUUCCUAGUGGGAUUUAUAAAUUUAGUCAAAUGAGUUGCCCAAUUUAUGCACUGUGGUAUGUGGAUAUUCUGUGCUUGCUGUGAUAUCAUUAAAAGAUAUUAACAGUCUACCUCAAUGUAAAAUAUUUCUGGAAGACUCAUGUUUUUGUAAGCCUGAAAUAGAAGUCUUAAUCAGCAA